CCCGAUUAGGGAAGGAAGGUGUACGAGCACCUUCUUUUUAGCCUUCUGGUCGGCUGGAAUGAACAGACCAGGAGAGAGAAACUGCAAGUGGAAACUCCGAGGAAGCAGGAGCCAUCCCCACUGGUGUGGCUUUGACAGUAGAGGGGACACGAGGGACUGUUCUGCAGUUGGCUCACCCCAGACUGCCCAUCACUCAAACCAGAGAUAAAGCUGCGGCCAAGUGCAUCACUCCCUGCUUUUCCUUCUGCUAAAGAACAUACAGGCUCCUAAACCUCUGCAUGGAUUUGGAGGCCCACAAGUCAGUUUAAGAUGAUGCAGAUAUUCAUGCUAUCACUGGAAUUAUGCUCAAAGCAGGAAAACCUGAUCUGGAAAGAGAGAAGCAUCUACUAAAGCAAUUCAGGAGAGACAGGUGCUCCAGAAGAAACUACAUUUUUCAAGAAUACCAAUUUGAUGGAAUUUAAAUAUUAAGAUGUCAACUCUGAAGGGAGGUCACGACAAGUUCUUAGGCAAAUAAUCAAUUUGCUUUUAUAAAGUAGUGGAAUAUCACUGAGUUGACAGUACCAUAGUGAUCAAUUUUCCCCUUUCCCUCCUGACUGGAAAUGAUUUGGUUUUACAACUGGAAACCCAAAAAAACAAAGGUAUUUUUAAAAUAAAUGAAGCC